GAUAGUUCCAUUCGCUUUAGCCAAAAAAAAGGGUAAAAUUCGGAGAAGCAAAAAGCUCGAAAAAACCCCAAUUCUAGCAGUUUGCGCACGCUAGGGUUUUUCUUAAUCGAGUUCCCUGCUUCUUCUUUGUUCGUUGGAAAUUUCAGCGUGGUAUCUUUUGGAGUUUAGAUCUGAUCUGGAAUCGUGUGUUUUUUGAUGGUUGGAUUUUGUAGCGGGAGUGGUUGAUUUUUAUUUUUCUGGAGUUUUGGUUUUAGGAGAUCAGGAUGAUUUCGUUGCAGACCGGUCCUCGGGCUUCGCUCGGCGGCUCUGCUCGCGAUGAUGCUAGCUUCCAGGUGAAGCUUGAGCCAUCUUCGUCUUCGCUGAGUCUUGUGCCUUUUAAGGGCCGUGAUUCUCAUCACGAAGUUGAUGAAGACAUGCACCUGGCCCUUGCUCAUCAGAUGUACAAGGCUGGCAACUAUAAACAGGCAUUAGAGCAUAGCAAUACUGUUUAUGAGAGAAGUCCCCUGCGGACUGAUAAUCUUCUUCUUUUGGGUGCUAUUUAUUAUCAGUUGCAUGAUUAUGAUAUGUGCAUUGCAAAAAAUGAGGAAGCUCUUCGACUUGAGCCACGUUUUGCUGAGUGUUAUGGAAACAUGGCAAAUGCUUGGAAGGAAAAGGGUGAUAUUGAUCUUGCAAUUCGUUACUAUUUGGUUGCCAUUGAGCUGCGACCCAACUUUGCUGAUGCUUGGUCAAACUUGGCUAGUGCAUACAUGCGAAAAGGAAGGCUUAAUGAGGCAGCACAGUGUUGUCGCCAAGCGCUUGCAUUGAAUCCUCUAUUGGUUGAUGCUCAUAGCAACCUUGGGAAUCUAAUGAAGGCACAAGGGUUGGUGCAAGAAGCAUACAGUUGCUACCUUGAGGCUUUACGCAUACAACCAACAUUUGCUAUUGCGUGGUCAAAUCUUGCUGGUCUCUUUUUGGAGUCUGGUGAUCUUAAUAGAGCCCUUCAAUAUUAUAAGGAAGCUGUAAAACUCAAGCCCAUGUUUCCUGAUGCCUAUCUAAAUCUUGGAAAUGUUUAUAGGGCCUUGGGAAU
rnacentral:misc_RNA from 1 species